rnacentral:rRNA from 1 species
UACGGAGGAUGCGAGCGUUAUCCGGAUUUAUUGGGUUUAAAGGGUGCGCAGGCGGCGAGUUAAGUCAGCGGUAAAAUUUCGGGGCUCAACCCCGACAAGCCGUUGAAACUGGCUUGCUAGAGUGGGCGAGAAGUAUGCGGAAUGCGUGGUGUAGCGGUGAAAUGCAUAGAUAUCACGCAGAACUCCGAUUGCGAAGGCAGCAUACCGGCGCCCAACUGACGCUCAGGCACGGAAGCGUGGGUAUCGAACAGG